GCCGAGGCACGCCAGCACCGAGAGCCGCCGGACGCCGAGGCACGCCAGCACCGAGAGCCGCCGGACGCCGAGGCACACCGAACGAUCUAUACUCCCAUCAAGGCACCCCGAGGCACACCAGACCAGGGAGCAGACAUCCAGUCUGCAAACUUCCCUUCUGCGUAGUAUAUUAACAAAACAGGAAAUGAUGAUGGACCAACUGCGCAUCAUCUUUAAGACCCUACAGGGUAUGAAAGCGACUGAUGAGGCAGAGAUAGGCCUGGAUCGAAAUUUGUUGCCCGUCAAAGACGUCAGUUCUCUUCAGAACCUGGAGGAACAACUGCAGAGUAUUCCUGACCUCUAGAAACAGUUGGUGAACACGCUGGCUCUCAAAGGGGGGACUGACAUUCGUGAGUGGAAUGAGAGGAAUAAAUGGAAAGAUUGGCUUUCAGCGCCUACAGAUAAGAGAUGUUGUGAUUGCUGCUGUGAGGCGUAACCGUCUGACAUCUGGGGCCACGGACCAAGAAAUAGAUCAAAAGAUGGCUUCAUCUGGCUCCGGAUAGGGAUGGUGGCAGGAGGGAGAGGAUGAGGAGAUCACUGGGAAGAUCACAGCAGACAGCUUCAGAAAAAGCUUUUUGGAGUGGGAGGCUGUUAAUUUGAAGUGGAUAAGAUCUGCAGGGAGGAGCAUUUUAUCUGUCCUGCAUGCACCCCAGACAUGCUUGCUGUUUCUGUGGAUGGAAAUCGCAAGCACUACCGCUUUAAGAACGCCGCAAGAUCUGAAGAACAAGCCUUAUUUGAUGGCAUCUUCAUUGCAAAAGAUGAUGAAGUAGAAAGAUUUGUGGAUGACAUUCAUUCCAACACCAACCAUGUCUCUGGAAGAGGUGUCUGUGGAGGGGAGUGGUCAGCUGCCAGGGAAACUUCUCAGAGAUCCUCUAGUAAAAUUGAUGAGGAGGGACUUGAGCUUGCGGUCUGUCGACAUGGAGUUUUUCU